AUUGAACGCUGGCGGCAUGCCUUACACAUGCAAGUCGAACGGUAACAGGUCUUCGGAUGCUGACGAGUGGCGAACGGGUGAGUAAUACAUCGGAACGUGCCUAGUAGUGGGGGAUAACUACUCGAAAGAGUGGCUAAUACCGCCUGAGAUCUACGGAUGAGAGCAGGGGAUCGCAAGACCUUGUGCUACUAGAGCGGCCGAUGGCAGAUUAGGUAGUUGGGGGGAUAAAAGCUUACCAAGCCGGCGAUCUGUAGCUGGUCUGAGAGGACGAUCAGCCACACUGGGACUGAGACACGGCCCAGACUCCUACGGGAGGCAGCAGUGGGGAAUUUUGGACAAUGGGCGCAAGCCUGAUCCAGCAAUGCCGCGUGCAGGAUGAAGGCCUUCGGGUUGUAAACUGCUUUUGUACGGAACGAAAAGCCCUGGGUUAAUACCCUGGGGUCAUGACGGUACCGUAAGAAUAAGCACCGGCUAACUACGUGCCAGCAGCCGCGGUAAUAC
rnacentral:rRNA from 1 species